AAACUAACAGGCUGAAUAUACGAGACAACAAGGUGCAGGACUGGAUGAACAUAGCAGGCCAAGCAGUAUCAUAGGAGCAGAAAGGCUGACGUUUCGGGCCUAGACCCUUCAUCAGAAAAGGCUGAAUAUACGGACUUGUUUCAUUCCAUAAAUGGCUGAGUUGUGCAACUGAUUGGAGUUUUAUUACUCUUCCAUAAAAUCCUGGUUCUGCUGUUGUUUUGGAGAGAGCCUACCGUACAGUGAAGCAAAUUGACCUUGGAGGUUUAGUCAAGUGAUCCCAGGGGUAUUAUUGUUUAGAGGACCCAGAGUGUGUCCUGCCCAGAGGCAAGUACAACCUUCUCAUCUUGAACUCCCACAGGUUUGUGGGGGUGGGCAUACAGUUUAGAGGUGGAAGACCUGGCCACCUCUCGAGUGUUCUGAGUGGAGACUUCUGGAAAAUCUAUAUGUGAUUCAUCCUCCAGGUACAUACCUAUUGGCUUCCCUUCUGGACAGAGCUCAGGGGCCCUCUGUGACAAGAAUAAAUCAAAUCAAAUGUCACUUUCUCGUUGGUGUGAAGCUCUAGGAUCUAGAGUGAAGGAGUGCAGCUGGCAGCCAGAUGGUCACAUACCAGAGACAGCAGAGUUCCCACAGCAUUGCAGCAGUCCUGCAGCCUUUGUGUUUGGUUACGUCGUGGCCCUGACAAACCUGUCUGCUGCUCCGGGAUCUUCCUGUGCAUGGCGAUAAAAUCAGGAAAUGACACCAGCACGGGCUCCUCUCCUGCUUGAGGCUGAACAGGUGCCUGGUCUCCAUCAAGCCUCCGAGUGUCAGUGACCUGGGGCAUCUCUUCUUCAACCAGCUGUGGAGGUGUGGCAGUGACAUCCUCCCCAGCAAACGAUAAAGGUGUCCAUUUCCCAGUGUGGGCCAUUUGUCUUGCGUUUCAGGAACUAACCGUUACUACCAGUGGAGAAAAUCUUCUUACUAGAACAAACAUGAUUAAUCUAGCUCUGCCUUUGAAUUUUACAAAAGAAUUUUACAAACAACAAAAAAUUGGAUAACUUCUACAAAAUCCUGACUACUAAUAUGGAUAAUCAGAGAGUGGAAUUUGUGUCCACUUUGGAAGCAUGGAGGAACUUCAAUCGUUUCUCCAAUACAACAGAAGAGGAGAAGGCAUUGAUUUAGAACUAUCCACCUAUGUACACUGGAAACACUUCCAAAUUUGAGCAGAUUUAUGUAAUUGAUUAGAAUUAUUUCAACUAGACUUGUCUCAGUCAGUCAAUUAAAUCUGAUAUACCCACUUUGUUGCAGACCAUCCA